CCUACGGGAGGCAGCAGUGAGGAAUAUUGGUCAAUGGCCGGAAGGCUGAACCAGCCAAGCCGCGUGAAGGACGAAGGUGCCAAGCAUUGUAAACUUCUUUUGUCAAGGGACAAAAUCAGGCUCGAGAGCCUGACAGAGGGUACUUGAAGAAAAAGCAUCGGCUAACUCCGUGCCAGCAGCCGCGGUAAUACGGGGGAUGCGAGCUUUAUCCGGAUUUAUUGGGUUUAAGGGGUGCGUAGGCGGGCUGUUAAGUCAGCGGUAAAAGCCCGGGGCUAAACCCCGGCGAGCCGUUGAAACUGGCUGUCUUGAGGUGGCGAGAGGUAUGCGGAAUGCGCAGUGUAGCGGUGAAAUGCUUAGAUAUUGCGCAGAACUCCGAUUGCGAAGGCAGCAUACCGGCGGCGAUCUGACGCUGAGGCACGAAAGCGUGGGUAGCGAACAGGAUUAGAUACCCGAGUAGUC
rnacentral:rRNA from 1 species